rnacentral:misc_RNA from 1 species
UGCUGGAGGAGGUGAUGGAGGUGGAGGAGGAGUUUCUUGUGGAGGGGAAUCAGGGUUGGGAGGCCGCAUUGCCAAGGGCGAAACUUGGAGAGGGGAGGUUUGAGGGGAAUGAGGAGGCGACUCCAUUGGUUGCCGAUGGUGAGGAUGGAGGAGAUGAGGGAGAAAAUGAAAAAGGCAGAGAGAAAUUAAGGCAAAUGCGGCAAAAAUAGGAGUGGAGAAGAAGAAGAGAGGUAAUGCUGGGAGAAAUGGAAGUGGAGGGACAGUCGUGAACAGAAAAGACGGGAAGAGGAGGUGGGAAAAAUGGUUGCCGAAAAGAAAUUUUGAUUUGAACAGGGUUUGUGUAAAACUGCAUAAGUGAAAAGUGAG